GACGAACGCUGGCGGCGUGCCUAAUACAUGCAAGUCGAACGCAGUGGGGACGGGUGAGUAACACGUGGGUAACCUCCCAUCAGAGGGGAUAACACUUGGAAACAGGUGCUAAACCGAUACUGAUGGAUGAACCCGCGGUGCAUUAGCUAGUUGGUGAGGUAACGGCUCACAAAGGCCACGAUGUAUAGCGGAGCUGAUAGGGUGUUCGGCCACACGGUGACUGAGCCAGGGCCCAUACUCCUACGGGAGGCAGCAUCAGGGAAGCUUCGGCAAUGGACGAAAGUCUGACCGAGCAACGCCGCGUGAGUGAAUAAGGUUUUCGGAUCGUAAAACUCUGUUGUUAGAGAAGCGGUAUCUAACCAGAAAGCCACGGCUAACGACGUGCCAGCAGCCGCGGUAAUAC
rnacentral:rRNA from 1 species